rnacentral:rRNA from 1 species
CUGGUGGUGCGGCGGCGGCGGGGGUAGAAGACGCUGGUGGUGCGGCAGCUGCGGCAGGACUUCGUACGACGAGGAGAGGGAUCGGUUCAGCGGGACCUAGAGCGCUACCUCCACCGGCGGAGCACCGGUACCUCCCGAGCGGUCGGCGGAGGCCUCAGGGUGUAGGGGUUCUAGCUGACCUAACGUCGGCGGACCGGCUCCAGCAGCCGGGAGCUGCCCGACCGUGAUGGAGCGGACACGAACGAGGGCAGGUACGGCGGCGGUGUGAAGGAGAAGGUGAGGCGCAUGAGGACCAACGUCGGGGACGAGCGGUGUCCGUCCCUAGUCGCCGAGCGGCCGCACCGCGCACCGUCGCCUCUCUUCCCCCCGUUCUAGCCGCUCCGUCUCAAGAAGGCCUUCCUGCCGCACCACCCGCUGUACCUCCCUAUGGAGUUGAUGGACAGGGAGCUCAUACUGAAGCAGAGCCUGUGGUUAGGACGAACCCCUUCCGCCCUCUCCCGCGGUAGCCGUAGAGACAGGAGGAGAUGAACCACCGGCGGUACAUGCGUCUUCUGGUACUCCAGCGGCCCAGGCAGCGACCGACUGGCUUCGUCCCAUGGGUCUGAGACGGCAGCCAGCGCUCGGAGCGGCAGAUGGAAGUGGUCGGUGGGGCUUGCGGCAAACAGGCCGACCCGCCCCUUCCUCGCUGCUAAGCCUCUACAUCGUCUCGCGAACCGGCGUCGACGAGAGCCGUGCGCUGCCGCACGGGGCGCAGGUCUCCGAGCGGAGCCGCGGGUGUAGCAGGAGGAUGAUGAAGAGCCACGGCGACUGGGCCGCCCUCGGCUCCCUCCACUGCAUGUAGGUCUCGCAGACGCGCGUCUACUAGGCCGAGACCACGAGGUAGGGGCGGUCCGCGUCGCGCUUUAGACCUUCUCAAUAAACUUGUUUUAUCGGUCCCUACGACAGGUCGACUACGAACCAUAGGUGAGCUUCAAGUAGUAGGUUACAUAACUCCUAGAGAGCUACUACUAGUCGUCAUAACGUUCAAGCCGUCUUUAUUCACUUAUGACGUACCCUUCCAUACUAGAACUACCGGAGAUACGACGAUAGUGCAGUCCUUGACCCCACCUAUAACAAUCCUUCCCGUAUAACAACAUGUAGAUACGGACGGACGUGAUACGUGGUAAAGUAAGUGUGCCCUUCCGCAUGUGGAACUUUGUCUGUGGACUACCGGACCGUUCAAGAUGAGGACUUUAGUUGCAGAUACCGAACUAAAAACUUUAUCUGUGUUAGUACUCGGCGCUGUAGGUUGGUUGUCUGGGUGCACACGGCUGGUUUGAUUCCUCUGCGGCCGCGGUGAAGGGGUUUAGAGGGAAGGUAAGCUCGCUCCACUACUCCCUUUCUUGACCAACACCACUUUCAGUCAAAUCACGUAGUUCCUAACCUCACUUGGGACGGACGUUGGAGUGUAAGUACAAAGAGACGACGCAUACGGGCGAGGUUCUUGGGCUCGAUCGGCGGAGCGGCCGCCGGGUAGGGUCAGAUAGAGCAGCGCAGAGACGAGGGCAUGGGGCGGUGGGGUGACGAGGAGGCAAUGGAACAGCAUUCAGCAAAAAUAAGGGUGACCGACCCGUAACACUGGUACCGGCGAGGGUACCUGACUCGCGAUCGUGCGGGCUAGAGUGAGCGGCGGGUACGGGGGUGCACGACGUCGCUUGUGUACCAACGUUUCAGAGAAGACGUCUUACACUAGCACCUACGUAAAUGUUGGACGAACUUUUUUAGUCCGUACAAGUUUUCUGCUGGGGGAUU